UACGUAGGGUGCAAGCGUUAAUCGGAAUUACUGGGCGUAAAGCGUGCGCAGGCGGUUGUGCAAGACAGAUGUGAAAUCCCCGGGCUUAACCUGGGAAUGGCGAUGGUGACUGCAAGGCUAGAGUUUGGCAGAGGGGGUAGAAUUCCACGUGUAGCAGUGAAAUGCGUAGAGAUGCGGAGGAACACCGAUGGCGAAGGCAGCCCCCUGGGUCAAGACUGACGCUCAUGCACGAAAGCGUGGGGAGCAAACCAGGAUUAGAAACCCUUGUAGU
rnacentral:rRNA from 1 species